rnacentral:lncRNA from 1 species
AUGAGAGAAAUAUAUCUCCUGGUGCAACAGUCUAUGUCCAGGGCUAAUGACAAUUGCUGCUUUUGCAGUAAUGCCUACUGGGAAAUACUUAAAAUAAGCUUUUUACCCCAAUAAGGAAGAGACAAAGAUAUGGAAAAGUUCUCCCAGAUGAAGGCAUCAGGAAGAGACGGGUCUGUAGCAAGGAAACAUUCACAAUGGGUGCUGAGGGUCUGGCAAGAGAGGAAUGUGGAGCCCCAGUCCUGGCCAGUCUGGUUCAGAGGACUAAGGUGUACGUGGCUAGUCUGGUUGUGUCAGCUAUCCCACCAGUGCAAGAGAGCCACAACAUUCCCAUGUGCAGACACCUCACCCUCUAGAAACAAGAUGGGACCUAGCGUCAAGGGACCCUGUUUGGAGAUAUGCGAUGGAGAGGAAAUCAACACUGAAAGACUGUGAAAAAUAAAUGCACAAAAAUGAUCUUGGGAUGUCUUUUAGCUUUUGGGAAGAAGAGGGCUAUCCCAAGCAUAUGGGAAACACAGAACAGCUAAAAAGCUUUGGUGAGGGGGUGCACAGGGAAAACUUUAUUCCAUGGUGUGCCUGUUACCUGGCACAGAGGAGGGGAGCAUUUUCUGCAAGGAGCCAGUGACACAGUCAUGUUCACAGCCUUCAGCUGGAGGGCAAGAACACUGUAAGUCACAUCCACACAAAAUUGCCAAACUGUUACUAGAUGCAGUGUUAGGAUUACACCUACUGAGAUGAAAAUUAGACCUACGGAUCCACCUCAGGCAUGCAGUGCAUGAUUACGAGUGUGUCACCUUUUUCCAUAUUAGUGUGCUCCUAACCACACUUGGGGGACAGGAUCUAUAAUCCUCAGCAAUAUAAAUUAAAAUCACUGGUCAAAUUACAGUAAAGUGAAAUUCCCAUACGCUUGCCUUUUCUCUUUCAGUAAGUGUUGUUUUUAGCAUUGCCCCUCAAAGCAGGGGAUUAUUCAAACCAGUUCCUCAUUAUUCAUAUCAGCAUCAAAAUAUGAGGUCUGAAAUGGGUCAGACCAAACCCAGUGUCUGUCCUUACCAAGAGUGGGAAGACUCCAAAGGGAACUGGGUUAUGUGUGAACCCUGUGGUGAUGGUAGUGACAGCUAUGCCAGCCCUAAACACCCUGUUUUUAGGGAACCUUAUGGACAGCUACCACCUGUAUUUGACAGCACACUGGUGCUGGGUAUGCCCAGGUACUUGUGACCUCCUGCAGACUGAAGCGUGCCCUCCAGUCAUGGGGCCAGAGGCCAGGCAGCUGUAUGGCUGGUGAAACCAGUCUGAAGAGAGGCCUGAAGGUGCCAUGGAAAGGCACAGUGAAGAACAGAACAAACUGGGGCAAAAAAAUAGGAAAAAUUUGUUUCCUGGAAUUAAAACAGUCAUGUUCAGAAAUGUCUCCAUAUUCUGUUUUGACAUUUUUUGGAUCAAAGUGAAGCACUUUGACGUUUCUGAGUUUUUGUAGGCAGAGCUGCACCCAACACCUGCCACUGAGGUUGCUCAAAUGCCUCCAUGAUAAA